UGUGCUGUGACAGACACAAGGGUCACGCCCUGGGGCUGGGCCAGGCAGCCCUGUGCCUCCCCACCCUGCCUCAGGCAUCCUCAGCUAGCGUCGGGGACCUGUGGGUUCUGCCGCCUUCCUCACCUCCCACUCCAGCAGGACCCAGUAGAGGCGUGAGGAAGCUGAGGUCCUCCACCCAGCUGCGAUGCGACCCUGUCUGUGCCCCUCGCUGAGUCUCCCUAUCUGUGCAAUGAAGGGCUUGGCCUGGGUGCCUUUCGGAUCUCGUGGUCCUCUAAGCCCACGACUGCCCACCGACGUCCCUCAUGUCCCUGUGCCUGCAUCCCAAAGAGACCCUUCUCUGCUUUUUUCCACCAAAAUCCUGCUCAUGGUUCAAGAUCAAGUUUGCGCAUCCUUGUGUAUUUUUUCAUUCAACAAGGAUGUAUAGGGCUUCCCUGGUGGCACAGUGGUUAAGAAUCCGCCUGCCAAUGCAGGGGACACGGGUUUGAGCCCUGGUCCGGGAUGAUCCCACAUGCCGCGGAGCAACUAAGCCCGUGAGCCACAACUACUGAGCCCGCGUGCCUAGAGCUUGUGCUACAACAAGAGAAGCCACCACAAUGAGAAGCCGGUGCACCACAACAAAGAGUAGCCCCCUCUCGCCGCAACUAGAGAAAGCCCGUGCGCAGCAACAAGGACCCAACGCAGCCAAAAAUAAAUAAAUAAAUAAAUGCAUUUUUUAAAAAAAACAAAACAACAAAGAUGUAUAAACGCCUGCUUUGCCAGGCACUGUCCUCGGUCUAGAGGAUGUGGAAGUGAACGGGAGCUUCUGCUCUAGCAGGAAAAGCAGAUGGGACACAACUAUGGGAUUAUGUCAUGGGAUUCAGUCAUUAAUGGCAGUGUGGUAAGUGCUGGGAUGGUCAUAUGCAGGAUGCUCUAACCUGGGGUCUUCACUUGUCCCGGGAGCAGGGAGGUGACCAUCCCUGGAAAUGGCCCAGAACUGAGUGCUGAGCUGCUGGCCUCCCAUGAAGACCUUCGUCUCCAGCUCCUGCAUCCGCCUGCCUCGACACAUGUGUGCUGGGACCUCUGCGAUGGCCCUUGGGCUUAUCACAGUAAGAGCCCUGGAGCUCAUCAGCCUCGAACAUCAACUCUCAGGGAUCCACGACCACAGAGUGGCAGCCAGUCAAAGCAACUGCGUCCACUUGGCGUGCAAAGCAGUUGGCGUGCACAGCCCCCCGUGACUGCAGCCUGCAAGCCUGAGGAUCGGACACACUGCAGGUAAAACUCCUGGCAUGUGUUGCCAAUUAUUUUGUGAGGGUUUAUCUUUGAAACGUCUGUGCCUUCAUAACACUGCUUUGCAUUCGGGGCCCACAGCAGUGGGGGCAGGGGUGCAGGAGUGGCCUGGGGGCGAAGAAAGGCCAUCUUCUGAACUGUCCAUGAGGGUGCCCCGGUGGGGACCAAGAGUUCACUUCUUCCUAGGGGUGACUCUUCCCUGGCGUGACCCGCUGUGGGAUUCUCUGAAGCUGGCAGUGAGCGGCAGCAGCUCAGACUCCAAGAACAGUCAUUCUGAAUGUAAAAGAGGCGCUAAGGUGUUUCUUAUGCAAAUAUAUGCAAAUGAACAUGCAGCCGUCAGCCUCUUCCAGUAUUUUAUCCAAGCCAGAAGAUGUUGCUAAUUUUAUUGAAGAUGCUGCCUGCCUGUUUCCAGGAGGACGUGAAGGGUUUACCAAUGCCAGUCACUGUGAGCCCCAUACAGACAGCAGAACACACUCAGUUGAGUGUUCAGCAUUCUGCACAUUACACAUGUAACUCAUUAAUCUUAAGCCUGGCAGGGUGUGGGGGGGUUAUUAUUAUUAUUAUCAGUGCUGUUAUUAUUCACAGCUGACAGAAGCAGAAACUGAGAUAGAGGCCACCUGCCCACCCCAGCUCACUCAGCUAAGUAGGUGGCAGAAGUGGGAUUUGAACCCUGGUUCCAUCCAAGAUAAGGCAUAAAACCCCUGGGGUGAGUCACUGCAACAGAGCAUGAACCCAGGCUUAGAGUCCAGGCAGAAGAGACAAAACCGCGAGAAGACAGAUAAGGAACGACACUGUCUUCCCACUGUCUGCAGAGACUCUCUCCCUUGGAACGAAAUGAAGCCGAAAAGUAGGAUAUGAUGUCACAACAGCAGUUUCAUUACCGACAGGGGAAGACAGUCAAAGCAACACAGUACGGGCCCCUCUCAAGGCAGAGGACGUGAAGGCCUGCUGGUCUGGAAGGACCUGCUGCUCAAGAGGGCCAGGCAGUUGGUUCAACAAAGGGGCCUCCGCCGGGGUCUGCCAGAACCUCCUCAGGGGCCAGCCUGCCUCUCUCCAAGGCGUCCAAGUGUGUUUUGAAUCUCACGGUUCUGUAACCAGAAGAAGCGACUGUUUUUAACUGCUCCUUCCUCGUACUUCUGCUCUGAGGGCCGAUCCUGUCUGCAUUGCUUCUCUCUUCAAGAAAUGUCAGCUGAAUGCAGCGAUCUGCUCUCCCCUCUGGCCCAAGCUCCACAUCUCCUCGCUGACCGCACUUUGAGUAGCAAGGCCAGAAACGACCUGGGGCCUGAACCCUACCAAGCCUGGUAAGAACUUGACCCUCAGGAGCCUGGUAGGGCCAGGUGCUCAGCCACGUGCCCAGACCUGGGAAUGGGGUCCGGGGCGGGGAUGGGCCACCUGUGUGGUCUGACGUAACACAUGAUUUGUGACUCAGCACAGGCUUCCAGAGUCUGUGUGCUUUGCCUUUUUAUAUAACUAAGAAGAGAUCUGAGGCUGUUUCUGUAAGACUGGAAUUCUCCCUCCCAUCUAGACGUUCUUUCCAGAAGAAGAAGAAGGAACGCGGUGGGUUUGGGAGAAGGAGAGAUUGGACAUGGACUGCGGUGUGUCUCAGUUGCACCCAUCAAGGGGCGGGAGGAUGUAGCCACGUGCCACAGAUGAUCCCGCCGUACAGGAUUAUUCACAGGUCUCACCCACGAGGAUUUCCCAUCCAGACCCAGAGAAAGUUCCAGAAGCUUCUUGAUAUUGCUACCCUCUGUACCCUCAGGAAGACUUAAGAGCCUAGACCUCUUAGCCGCACUCAGGCUCUGCAAGUGGCCAGAGUGUGUGCGGGGCGGAUGUCAGUAUAAUUCCUCUGGACAUCCCCUCUCAGCUAAAACCAGAGGCCCCAGGCCUCUCAUUCACUCAUUUAGUUGUUUUUUCACUUAAGCAUCCUCAGACCUCUGCCAGCAGCCAAAGGUAGUUAUCUAAUAUUCUCCUGUUUUAUCUUUUACACAAACAAUACUUUGCAGGAUUAAAAACCAUCAUUAUAAGAUUAUGACACAAACUUGGGUUUCAAAUAGGUCACUUUACUGGAUUGGAAGGGGAGGGGCAGGACGAGGCAGGUGACGGCCCGAGGCUGUAGGUGUGGCCACUGGGGGAGGUGAGGAGUGGGCGGAGGAGGAGGCAUCAACACAAGGGCCAAGCUUCCAGCUGGAGGCCCAGCGCAGGGUGGGGUCACUCCAGAGAUGGGGCAGGAGAAGAGGGCCACAGGCAUGGACCAGCUGAGAAAGAGGGGCUGGGGGUUGUCACAGCGGCAGCAUCCCUCAGGCAGGAGGGACUCCAGGCUGGAGUCUGCCCAGCUUCCAUCCCUCCCUCCAGACCCUCUCUCACUGAUCCCAGGGCUGAGCAACCCCUUCACACUGGCUUCAGAGUUUGCGGGGUGGUGGGGUGCUUCUGAGGCUCCACAGGCCUCAGCAACUGGUUGGUCAGAUAAAGUAUAGGGCACCCACAUAAAUUAGAAUCUCAGAUAAACAACCAAUCUU